rnacentral:tRNA from 1 species
UAUAAAGUAAGCUAAAUUUAAGCUAGUGGGUUCAUACCCCAAAUAUGAUAUUUUCCUUUAUUA